UAAAGGAUUAAUCAUUGUCAAAAUAACAUACGAAUAUGAUAGAUUAUUAGCUAUAUACAUCGUACAUCAUAUAGUUCAAUUGGGUGUGCAAGCAAGUCAAAACAACCUUAAGGCAUAAUUUGUUUUUCGGGAUAAAUAAACAGGAUAACCUUUUAAUCCCUAUCCUAGGAUAAAAGAGAAUAAAGUCCAUUCUACACUUGCCUUGAGCAUGGAUGAUUGGAUAAGUGGGAGUAAAGUGUCGGAGAAUACAAUUCCAGUUUAGCUAAGAAAAAAGAAGAGCUUACUUCAGAUGCAUUGGGAAAUAUAUAUAUAUAUAUAUAUAUAUAUAUAUGGAGAGAGAGAGAGAGAGAGAGAGAGAGAGAGAGAGAGAGUUGGAAUACUAUCGGUAGCAAACGGGCUCUGUUGCCACCGAUUUGUUUUCAAUGAUGGAGCCUCCAAAUCGACGAUCGGCAUUGUCGAACAUGAUCUAUACCACUUGAAUUAUCUAGAAACCAAAUUUCAUACUUUUCCGAUAUUGUUCUCUUGUCCAUCAAGUGAACACAAAAAUGACCGGCUGAGAAUAAAUAUUCUUUAAAAAGUGAUGAUAUGAAUCUUAUAAUCAAGAUCGAGAGUAUAGAUUUUGUUCUAAAUUGUUUAAAGAAUUUUCUAAUAAAAAUUCAAUUGAUUUGAUUAUCUUUACAACGUUAAACGAGAAAACGCCUCAUAUCGACCAUUAAAAUUACAAAUUUUGAAACCCUUUGAUUAUUAGGUCAAUAAUGUCAAAAAGAUUUGAAAUUUGGUUUCUAGAUACUUCAAGUGGUAUAGAUCAUAUUCAACAGUGCCGAUUGUCAAUUUGAAUGCUCCAUCAUCGAAAACAAAUGAGUGGCAACGAAGCCCGUUUACUACUGAUAGCAUUCCAACUCAACUCUCUCUCUCUCUCUCUUACAUCUAUAUAUAUAUAUAUAUAUAUAUAUAUAUAGAGUCCGGCUCCUAUGCUAUCGGUAGCACGGAGCGCUCCGUGCUACCAAGUUGUUUCCGAUGAUGCGGCUUCCAAAUCGACGAUCGGCUCCGUUAGACUUGAUCUACACUAUUGAAAGUAUUUGGAAAUUAAAUUGCAGAUUUUUUCGACAUAAUUUGACUACUGAUCAAAAGAUCUCAAAAUUGACAAUUUUAAUGGCCGAUGUGGUGUGUUUGUGAGUUUAACGAUGUAAAACAAUUCAAAUGCGAUGAAAAUUUUAUAGAAAAUUCUUUUCACUAUUUAGAGUAAGAUCAGUAUAUCUGAUCUUGAAUUUAAAUCUUUUAUCAUCAUUUUUCAUGAGAUUUUUAUUUUCAGCCGUUCAAUUUUAGACUACUUGUUUGAUAGGUAAAUGAUAUCGAAAAAUUAUGAAAUUUAGUUUCUAAAUAUUUUCAAUAGUGUAGAUCAAGUCUAACGGAGCCGAUCGUCGAUUUGGAAGCCGCAUCAUCGAAAACAACUUGGUAGCACGGAGCACUCCGUGCUACCGAUAGUAUAGUAGGCUUAUCCUACAGGUAAUGCUGGUGAGUUUCGUUAUCCACCCAAAGUCCUGGAAAGUAAAUGAGUUUAUUUCACAUGGAUUACAAAAGGAUAUGCUGAUAGAUGUUUUGGACUAUGUUAUAGACAAACGCAGACACACACAUGAGUAAUGUAACAUAAAGGAAAAAGAAUAAGGCCAAACCAAAAAUUACUGACUACUAAGAUAUGAAAAGAUACGGAA
rnacentral:lncRNA from 1 species